AACGAACGCUGGCGGCAUGCCUAAUACAUGCAAGUCGAACGAACGCUUCGGUGUUAGUGGCGCACGGGUGCGUAACGCGUGGGAAUCUACCCUUGGGUUCGGAAUAACAGUUAGAAAUGACUGCUAAUACCGGAUGAUGACGUAAGUCCAAAGAUUUAUCGCCCAAGGAUGAGCCCGCGUAAGAUUAGCUAGUUGGUAAGGUAAAGGCUUACCAAGGCUACGAUCUUUAGCUGGUCUGAGAGGAUGAUCAGCCACACUGGGACUGAGACACGGCCCAGACUCCUACGGGAGGCAGCAGUAGGGAAUAUUGGACAAUGGGGGCAACCCUGAUCCAGCAAUGCCGCGUGAGUGAUGAAGGCCUUAGGGUUGUAAAGCUCUUUUACCCGAGAUGAUAAUGACAGUAUCGGGAGAAUAAGCUCCGGCUAACUCCGUGCCAGCAGCCGCGGUAAUACGGAGGGAGCUAGCGUUGUUCGGAAUUACUGGGCGUAAAGCGCGCGUAGGCGGCUGUUUAAGUCAGAGGUGAAAGCCUGGAGCUCAACUCCAGAACUGCCUUUGAGACUGGACAGCUAGAAUCCUGGAGAGGUGAGUGGAAUUCCGAGUGUAGAGGUGAAAUUCGUAGAUAUUCGGAAGAACACCAGUGGCGAAGGCGGCUCACUGGACAGGUAUUGACGCUGAGGUGCGAAAGCGUGGGGAGCAAACAGG
rnacentral:rRNA from 1 species